GGUUAAGCGACUAAGCGUACACGGUGGAUGCCCUGGCAGUCAGAGGCGAUGAAGGACGUGCUAAUCUGCGAUAAGCGUCGGUAAGGUGAUAUGAACCGUUAUAACCGGCGAUUUCCGAAUGGGGAAACCCAGUGUGAUUCGUCACACUAUCAUUACGUGAAUACAUAGCGUAAUGAAGCGAACCGGGGGAACUGAAACAUCUAAGUACCCCGAGGAAAAGAAAUCAACCGAGAUUCCCCCAGUAGCGGCGAGCGAACGGGGAGCAGCCCAGAGUCUGAAUCAGCUUGUGUGUUAGUGGAACGGUCUGGAAAGUCCGACGGUACAGGGUGAUAGUCCCGUACACCAAAAUGCACAGGUUGUGAACUCGAAGAGUAGGGCGGGACACGUGGUAUCCUGUCUGAAUAUGGGGGGACCAUCCUCCAAGGCUAAAUACUCCUGACUGACCGAUAGUGAACCAGUACCGUGAGGGAAAGGCGAAAAGAACCCCGGCGAGGGGAGUGAAAAAGAACCUGAAACCGUGUACGUACAAGCAGUGGGAGCAUCCUUUUGGGUGUGACUGCGUACCUUUUGUAUAAUGGGUCAGCGACUUAUAUUCUGUAGCAAGGUUAACCGUAUAGGGGAGCCGAAGGGAAACCGAGUCUUAACUGGGCGUUAAGUUGCAGGGUAUAGACCCGAAACCCGGUGAUCUAGCCAUGGGCAGGUUGAAGGUUGGGUAACACUAACUGGAGGACCGAACCGACUAAUGUUGAAAAAUUAGCGGAUGACUUGUGGCUGGGGGUGAAAGGCCAAUCAAACCGGGAGAUAGCUGGUUCUCCCCGAAAGCUAUUUAGGUAGCGCCUCGUGAACUCAUCUUCGGGGGUAGAGCACUGUUUCGGCUAGGGGGUCAUCCCGACUUACCAACCCGAUGCAAACUGCGAAUACCGAAGAAUGUUAUCACGGGAGACACACGGCGGGUGCUAACGUCCGUCGUGAAGAGGGAAACAACCCAGACCGCCAGCUAAGGUCCCAAAGUCAUGGUUAAGUGGGAAACGAUGUGGGAAGGCACAGACAGCCAGGAUGUUGGCUUAGAAGCAGCCAUCAUUUAAAGAAAGCGUAAUAGCUCACUGGUCGAGUCGGCCUGCGCGGAAGAUGUAACGGGGCUAAACCAUGCACCGAAGCUGCGGCAGCGACACUAUGUGUUGUUGGGUAGGGGAGCGUUCUGUAAGCCGUUGAAGGUGUAUCGUGAGGUAUGCUGGAGGUAUCAGAAGUGCGAAUGCUGACAUAAGUAACGAUAAUGCGGGUGAAAAACCCGCACGCCGGAAGACCAAGGGUUCCUGUCCAACGUUAAUCGGGGCAGGGUGAGUCGACCCCUAAGGCGAGGCCGAAAGGCGUAGUCGAUGGGAAACAGGUUAAUAUUCCUGUACUUGGUGUUACUGCGAAGGGGGGACGGAGAAGGCUAUGUUAGCCGGGCGACGGUUGUCCCGG
rnacentral:rRNA from 1 species